rnacentral:tRNA from 1 species
GCACCUGUGGUCUACUGGUUAGGGCUUCGGACUUGUAACCGGAGGGUUGCCUGUUCGAACCCAACUGGUCGCA